GGGUUGUGAGGUUAAGCGACUAAGCGUACACGGUGGAUGCCCUGGCAGUCAGAGGCGAUGAAGGGCGUGCUAAUCUGCGAUAAGCGCCGGUAAGGUGAUAUGAACCGUUAUAACCGGCGAUACCCGAAUGGGGAAACCCAGUGUGAUUCGUCACACUAUCAUUAACUGAAUCCAUAGGUUAAUGAGGCGAACCGGGGGAACUGAAACAUCUAAGUACCCCGAGGAAAAGAAAUCAACCGAGAUUCCCCCAGUAGCGGCGAGCGAACGGGGAGGAGCCCAGAGCCUGAAUCAGCAUGUGUGUUAGUGGAAGCGUCUGGAAAGGCGCGCGAUACAGGGUGACAGCCCCGUACACAAAAGCGCAUGUGCUGUGAGCUCGAUGAGUAGGGCGGGACACGUGGUAUCCUGUCUGAAUAUGGGGGGACCAUCCUCCAAGGCUAAAUACUCCUGACUGACCGAUAGUGAACCAGUACCGUGAGGGAAAGGCGAAAAGAACCCCGGCGAGGGGAGUGAAAAAGAACCUGAAACCGUGUACGUACAAGCAGUGGGAGCCCCACCACUAAGCCAGUGGUGAACUCCACAUCCGCAUCCUUUGCUGAGGAUACGGUUAACGGAGCGAAAGCGACGUUCAACCGCAAAACAAGCAGAGGGGGCUUAGUGGUGGGGUGACUGCGUACCUUUUGUAUAAUGGGUCAGCGACUUAUAUUCUGUAGCAAGGUUAACCGAAUAGGGGAGCCGGAGGGAAACCGAGUCUUAAUUGGGCGUUAAGUUGCAGGGUAUAGACCCGAAACCCGGUGAUCUAGCCAUGGGCAGGUUGAAGGUUGGGUAACACUAACUGGAGGACCGAACCGACUAAUGUUGAAAAAUUAGCGGAUGACCUGUGGCUGGGGGUGAAAGGCCAAUCAAACCGGGAGAUAGCUGGUUCUCCCCGAAAGCUAUUUAGGUAGCGCCUCGUGAAUUCAUCUCCGGGGGUAGAGCACUGUUUCGGCUAGGGGGCCAUCCCGGCUUACCAACCCGAUGCAAACUGCGAAUACCGGAGAAUGUUAUCACGGGAGACACACGGCGGGUGCUAACGUCCGUCGUGAAGAGGGAAACAACCCAGACCGCCAGCUAAGGUCCCAAAGUCAUGGUUAAGUGGGAAACGAUGUGGGAAGGCCCAGACAGCCAGGAUGUUGGCUUAGAAGCAGCCAUCAUUUAAAGAAAGCGUAAUAGCUCACUGGUCGAGUCGGCCUGCGCGGAAGAUGUAACGGGGCUAAACCAUGCACCGAAGCUGCGGCAGCGAACGUAUCACCCAAGACAACUUUACGGAGUUGACGAUUGACGGAGCGAAGCGACGUCAAAGCGUUCAUUAAAGUCGAGUUGGCUUAGGGAUACGUUCGUUGGGUAGGGGAGCGUUCUGUAAGCCUGUGAAGGUGUGUCGUGAGGCAUGCUGGAGGUAUCAGAAGUGCGAAUGCUGACAUAAGUAACGAUAAAGCGGGUGAAAAGCCCGCUCGCCGGAAGACCAAGGGUUCCUGUCCAACGUUAAUCGGGGCAGGGUGAGUCGACCCCUAAGGCGAGGCCGAAAGGCGUAGUCGAUGGGAAACGGGUUAAUAUUCCCGUACUUGGUGUUACUGCGAAGGGGGGACGGAGAAGGCUAUGUUGGCCGGGCGACGGUUGUCCCGGUUUAAGCGUGUAGGUGUGUGUUCCAGGUAAAUCCGGUUCACUUUAACACUGAGGCGUGACGACGAGGCACUACGGUGCUGAAGCAACAAAUGCCCUGCUUCCAGGAAAAGCCUCUAAGCAUCAGGUAACAUCAAAUCGUACCCCAAACCGACACAGGUGGUCAGGUAGAGAAUACCAAGGCGCUUGAGAGAACUCGGGUGAAGGAACUAGGCAAAAUGGUGCCGUAACUUCGGGAGAAGGCACGCUGACACGUAGGUGAAGUGAUUUACUCAUGGAGCUGAAGUCAGUCGAAGAUACCAGCUGGCUGCAACUGUUUAUUAAAAACACAGCACUGUGCAAACACGAAAGUGGACGUAUACGGUGUGACGCCUGCCCGGUGCCGGAAGGUUAAUUGAUGGGGUCAGCGCAAGCGAAGCUCCUGAUCGAAGCCCCGGUAAACGGCGGCCGUAACUAUAACGGUCCUAAGGUAGCGAAAUUCCUUGUCGGGUAAGUUCCGACCUGCACGAAUGGCGUAAUGAUGGCCAGGCUGUCUCCACCCGAGACUCAGUGAAAUUGAACUCGCUGUGAAGAUGCAGUGUACCCGCGGCAAGACGGAAAGACCCCGUGAACCUUUACUAUAGCUUGACACUGAACAUUGAGCCUUGAUGUGUAGGAUAGGUGGGAGGCUUUGAAGUGUGGACGCCAGUCUGCAUGGAGCCGACCUUGAAAUACCACCCUUUAAUGUUUGAUGUUCUAACGUGGACCCGUUACCCGGGUUGCGGACAGUGUCUGGUGGGUAGUUUGACUGGGGCGGUCUCCUCCUAAAGAGUAACGGAGGAGCACGAAGGUUGGCUAAUCCUGGUCGGACAUCAGGAGGUUAGUGCAAUGGCAUAAGCCAGCUUGACUGCGAGCGUGACGGCGCGAGCAGGUGCGAAAGCAGGUCAUAGUGAUCCGGUGGUUCUGAAUGGAAGGGCCAUCGCUCAACGGAUAAAAGGUACUCCGGGGAUAACAGGCUGAUACCGCCCAAGAGUUCAUAUCGACGGCGGUGUUUGGCACCUCGAUGUCGGCUCAUCACAUCCUGGGGCUGAAGUAGGUCCCAAGGGUAUGGCUGUUCGCCAUUUAAAGUGGUACGCGAGCUGGGUUUAGAACGUCGUGAGACAGUUCGGUCCCUAUCUGCCGUGGGAGCUGGAGAACUGAGGGGGGCUGCUCCUAGUACGAGAGGACCGGAGUGGACGCAUCACUGGUGUUCGGGUUGUCAUGCCAAUGGCACUGCCCGGUAGCUAAAUGCGGAAGAGAUAAGUGCUGAAAGCAUCUAAGCACGAAACUUGCCCCGAGAUGAGUUCUCCCUGAGACUUAGAGUCUCCUGAAGGAACGUUGAAGACGACGACGUUGAUAGGCCGGGUGUGUAAGCGCAGCGAUGCGUUGAGCUAACCGGUACUAAUGAACCGUGAGGCUUAACCUUACAACGCCGAAG
rnacentral:rRNA from 2 species